GUCUCAGUAGCAUAGUGGUUAAUACACAUCACCGGUUACGCGCAAGAUGCGGGUUCGGAUCCCGCCUGAGAUG
rnacentral:tRNA from 1 species